GUUCCCUGAGGAUCGAUCCGACCUCAAGGACUUGUCCUACUAUCUGUGAACCUCUUUUGUCUUCUAUUCCUACUUUCAAUUGUUCUACUUGAUUCUUCUAUACAACAAGAGUUGAAUUCCCUGUUGAACCUCGAAUACGGUAAGGUUAGGGCAAUAAUUGAUUCAAAUCUCAAGAGGUUCGUAACAUUGGUAUCAGAGCCAGACGUCCUGGCCCCUUGCGUGAGAUCAAGAAACUACUGCAAGCACAAGUUAUUGGAGCAAGAUUCUAUUUGCACCCUAAUAAGAUUGAAUUAGCAAGGCUGAACAGAAAUUCCUUCAAGAUCUGAACUACAACAAAUUCAAGAAACGGAGGUAAAUCUUACAACGAAUUCAUUCGACCGUAUCUCAUAAAGUCAGAACGUUGGAAGAAGAUUAACAGGUCUACAACAAGAAGAAGAUCAUCCAGAAUAUCCUGGAACCUAUCUUGAGCGGCGGAUGCUCACCAGAUCUAAGGCACAUCAAAUGGCUUCGCUAGAAGAAGAGGUUGCAUCUUUGAAACAAGGAUAUGCUAAGCAAGAACAAUCCCUACUCGAGCAAAGAGAAAUCCUUAACCAGAUUCUCCAGAAAUUAUCCACAAAGGAUCCGCACUCCAGUUCACAUUCAAAUGAAGAUCCUAGAGAGGAACCGAAGCAACAAAAUACUGUAACCACUCAUUCAAACCAAACUUCACAAGGUGGGCAAGCA
rnacentral:lncRNA from 1 species